rnacentral:rRNA from 1 species
GAAAACCACGGUGGUACAGGAUGGGCCCGCGUCUGAUUAGUUAGUUGGCAGGGUAACGGCCUACCAAGACAACGAUCAGUAGCCGGCUUGAGAGAGUGGACGGCCACAUUGGGACUGAGACACGGCCCAGACUCCUGCGGGAGGCAGCAGUGGGGAAUAUUGCACAAUGGGGGGAACCCUGAUGCAGCAAUGCCGCGUGGGUGAAGAAGCACUCCGGUGCGUAAAGCCCUGUCAGCAGGGAAGAAAAUGACAGUACCUGGACAAGAAGCCCCGGCUAACUACGUGCCAGCAGCCGCGGUAAUACGUAGGGGGCAAGCGUUAUCCGGAUUUACUGGGUGUAAAGGGAGCGCAGGCGGCGUGGCAAGUCAGAUGUGAAAACCCGGGGCCCAACCCCGGGAGUGCAUUUGAAACUGCCAUGCUGGAGUGCCGGAGAGGUAAGCGGAAUUCCUAGUGUAGCGGUGAAAUGCGUAGAUAUUAGGAGGAACACCAGUGGCGGAGGCGGCUUACUGGACGGUAACUGACGCUGAGGCUCGAAAGCGUGGGGAGCAAACAGGAUUAGAUACCCUGGUAGUCCACGCCGUAAACGAUGAA